rnacentral:rRNA from 1 species
GAUGAACGCUAGCUACAGGCUUAACACAUGCAAGUCGAGGGGCAGCGCAGUGUAGCAAUACAUGGGCGGCGACCGGCGCACGGGUGCGUAACGCGUAUCCAACCUUCCCGUUACUCUUGGAUAGCCUUCCGAAAGGGAGAUUAAUACAAGAUGGUAUUCAAAUUCCGCAUGUUAUUUGAAUUAAAGAUUUAUCGGUAACGGAUGGGGAUGCGUGACAUUAGAUAGUAGGCGGGGUAACGGCCCACCUAGUCUACGAUGUCUAGGGGUUCUGAGAGGAAGGUCCCCCACACUGGAACUGAGACACGGUCCAGACUCCUACGGGAGGCAGCAGUGAGGAAUAUUGGUCAAUGGUCGGAAGACUGAACCAGCCAAGUAGCGUGAAGGAUGAAGGUUCUAUGGAUUGUAAACUUCUUUUAUACGGGAAUAAAACCUCCCACGUGUGGGAGCUUGUAUGUACCGUAUGAAUAAGCAUCGGCUAACUCCGUGCCAGCAGCCGCAGUAACAC